CCUGCGGAAGGAUCAUUGUUGAAAGCCUCGUAGUAGAAAGACUUGCUAACCCGUACCAAUACACGAUUUGAGCGUUGUGGCCAUCCUCUUGGUUUGCCCACGACGAUCAAAAACUCCGGCGCAGCAGCGCCAAGGAUUUUCAUAAUGAUAAUGCAACCUCGUAGAGCUUUAUUUUGCUGCUUGUGGGGUUGGCAUCCUUUUAACUAAAUGACUCUCGGCAAUGGAUAUCUCGGCUCUUGCAUCGAUGAAGAACGUAGCGAAAUGCGAUACUUGGUGUGAAUUGCAGAAUCCCGUGAACCAUCGAAACUUUGAACGCAAGUUGCGCCUCAAGCCAUUAGGUUGAGGGCGCGUUUGCUUGGGUGUCAUUUGUUAUCUCUCCCCUCUUGUGUGGGGCGGGAGUAGAUUGUGGCCUCCUGGGCCCUUCCUUGGGUGUGGUUGGCUGAAAAUGUUGUCCUUGAUUUUGUUGAUGUCUUGGUGUGCGGUGGAUGUACCAAGGGUGCAUAAUUGCCAGCCUUGCUUGACUUUGUUGUGGCCUUUUGAUCCUUAGAAGCUGUUGGUGUGGGCUCUUUGAUUGCGACCCCAAGUCAGGCGAGACUAC
rnacentral:rRNA from 1 species